UGAUUUAUGUCACAAAUUGACAUAAAAAGUAUCAAUUAAUAUCUAAAUUAUCUAACUUUAUUAAGAAAUUGAUACUUGUUAUUAUAUUUUGUAGAAGAAGAGAUCAUCAAUAGAAAGAACAAGGAAAGAGGAUUCCAAUGGCGCAAAUUUUAUGCAAAACGGAGUUAAAUUGACCCAGAAAUUGAAGAAUGAAGAAAGAAGACUCAAUUGGGUCAAAUCCGAGUCAAAUCAGAUCAAAAUUGAUCAAAAAUCAACUGAUUUG
rnacentral:lncRNA from 1 species